UACGAAGGGGGCUAGCGUUGCUCGGAAUCACUGGGCGUAAAGCGCACGUAGGCGGAUUGCUAAGUCAGGGGUGAAAUCCUGGAGCUCAACUCCAGAACUGCCCUUGAUACUGGCGGUCUCGAGUCCGGGAGAGGUGAGUGGAACUGCGAGUGUAGAGGUGAAAUGCGUAGAGAUGCGGAGGAACACCAGUGGCGAAAGCGACUCACUGGACACGUAUUGACGCUGAGGUGCGAAAGCGUGGGGAGCAAACAGG
rnacentral:rRNA from 1 species